rnacentral:rRNA from 1 species
GUCCUUUAGUUAUUUAUUUAAGGUCUGACCUGCCCAAUGAUUUUUUAAUGGCCGCGGUAUAUUAACCGUGCAAAGGUAGCAUAAUCACUUGUCUCUUAAUUGGAGGCUGGAAUGAAUGGUUGGACGAGAAAUAUACUUUCUUUUUUUUAAUUUAUGAAUUUUAUUUUCUAGUUAAAAAGCUGGAAUUUUUUUAUAGGACGAGAAGACCCUAUAGAAUUUUAUAUUUUUAUAAUUCUGUCUUUUUUUGUUUACUAUUAAGAUACAAUUUAUAAUAUAUUUUGUUGGGGCGACAGGUAAAUUUUUUUAACUUUUCUUUUUUCCUUCAUUAAUCUAUGUUUUUAUGAUCCGUUUAUUUACGAUUAAAAGAUUAAAUUACCUUAGGGAUAACAGCGUUAUUCUUUUGGAGAGUUCUUAUCGAUAAAGGAGUUUGCGA